rnacentral:rRNA from 1 species
GAACGCUGGCGGCGUGCCUAAUACAUGCAAGUCGAGCGAACAGACGAGGAGCUUGCUCCUCUGACGUUAGCGGCGGACGGGGGAGUAACACGUGGAUAACCUACCUAUAAGACUGGGAUAACUUCGGGAAACCGGAGCUAAUACCGGAUAAUAUAUUGAACCGCAUGGUUCAAUAGUGAAAGACGGUUUUGCUGUCACUUAUAGAUGGAUCCGCGCCGCAUUAGCUAGUUGGUAAGGUAACGGCUUACCAAGGCAACGAUGCGUAGCCGACCUGAGAGGGUGAUCGGCCACACUGGAACUGAGACACGGUCCAGACUCCUACGGGAGGCAGCAGUAGGGAAUCUUCCGCAAUGGGCGAAAGCCUGACGGAGCAACGCCGCGUGAGUGAUGAAGGUCUUCGGAUCGUAAAACUCUGUUAUUAGGGAAGAACAAAUGUGUAAGUAACUAUGCACGUCUUGACGGUACCUAAUCAGAAAGCCACGGCUAACUACGUG